GAUGAACGCUGGCGGCGUGCCUAAUACAUGCAAGUCGAGCGAAGCGGGGACGGGUGAGUACCACGUGGAUAACCUCCUUUCAGACUGGGAUAACUUCGGGAAACCGGAGCUAAACCGGAUCCUUAUAGAUGUAUCCGCGCGGCAUUCGCUAGUUGGUAAGGUAACGGCUGACCAAGGCAACGAUGCAUAGCCGACCUGAGAGGGUGAGCGGCCAAACUGGAACUGAGACACGGUCCAGACUCCUACGGGAGGCAGCAGUAGGGAAGCGUUCGCAAUGGGCGAAAGCCUGACGGAGCAACGCCGCGUGAGUGAUGAAGGUCUUCGGAUCGUAAAACUCUGUUAUGAGGGAAGCGGUACCUAAUCAGAAAGCCACGGCUAACUACGUGCCAGCAGCCGCGGUAAUAC
rnacentral:rRNA from 1 species